UCGCGGCUUAUCACCGGCAGUCCCCCUAGAGUGCCCAACUCAAUGAUGGCAACUAGGGGCGAGGGUUGCGCUCGUUGCGGGACUUAACCCAACAUCUCACGACACGAGCUGACGACAGCCAUGCAGCACCUGUGUUCCCGCCAGCCGAACUGAAGGACCCCGUCUCCGGGACCCAUACGGGACAUGUCAAGGGUUGGUAAGGUUCUGCGCGUUGCUUCGAAUUAAACCACAUGCUCCGCUGCUUGUGCGGGCCCCUGUCAAUUCCUUUGAGUUUUAGCCUUGCGGCCGUACUCCCCAGGCGGGAUACUUAAUGCGUUAGCUUCGGCACGGAGGGGGUUGACACCCCCCACACCUAGUAUCCAUCGUUUACAGCGUGGACUAC
rnacentral:misc_RNA from 1 species